CACAGCCACAAAGCAAAAAUACCGUACAACCACACAAACUCCUAAUUAAACACUGAGCCACACUAUAACAAUAGACAAACUUAUGCUAAAACUAGUAACAAGAAAACUUCUCUACCGCACACCCGUCUAUCAGUAAUAGAAAACCUACUGACAAUUAACAGACCAAAACAGGCCCAAUAGCUAACUAUAACACAAACUGUUACACCAACACCGGAGUGCCAUAAAGAAAGAUUAAAAACUGUAGAAGGAACUCAGCAAGCCCUGUCCCAACUGUUUACCAAAAACAUAGCCUUUAGCAGCAAAAGUAUUAAAGGUCCUGCCUGCCCAGUGAAACUCUUUAAACGGCCGCGGUAUUCUAACCGUGCAAAGGUAGCGUAAUCAUUUGUCUUCUAAAUAAAGACCGGUAUGAACGGCUAAAUGAGGACGAACCUGUCUCCUACACUCAAUCAGUGAAACUGAUCUACCAGUACAAAAGCUGGUAUAUACACAUAAGACGAGAAGACCCUGUGGAGCUUAAAAUAAACCACUAACCCAUACUACUUAGUGAAAAUUUUAAGUUGGGGCGACUUCGGAACAAAACUAAACUUCCGAGCACAGAAUUACAAAUUCUAACUGAGGCUAACAAGCCAAACCACACCCAGACCCAGUCAUACUGACCAACGAACCAAGUUACCCCAGGGAUAACAGCGCUAUCUUCUUCAAGAGUCCAUAUCGACAAGAAGGUUUACGACCUCGAUGUUGGAUCAGGACACCCAAAUGGUGCAGCCGCUAUUAAAGGUUCGUUUGUUCAACGAUUAAUAGU
rnacentral:rRNA from 1 species